UACGUAGGGUGCUAGCGUUGUCCGGAUUUAUUGGGCGUAAAGAGCGUGUAGGCGGUCAUGUAGGUCCGGUGUGAAAACUCGAGGCUUAACCUCGAGAUGUCAUCGGAAACCAUUUGGCUAGAGUCCGGAAGAGGAGAGUGGAAUUCCUGGUGUAGCGGUGAAAUGCGCAGAUAUCAGGAAGAACACCAAUGGCGAAAGCAGCUCUCUGGGACGGUACUGACGCUGAGACGCGAAAGCGUGGGGAGCGAACAGG
rnacentral:rRNA from 1 species